UUCUCUCCUCUCCUCCCAAAAACUUUUGGCCCUCCUCUCUCUUUCUUCUCUCUCUUCCUCGUCGACCGCCGCCCUUCUCACUGACCUUCGACCGCGGCUGCUCCUCGUCAUUGCCGUUCCGCCGCCGCCCUCGUGACGCGCGUCCCUCUCCUCUUCUCCUUUGUUUGGCAGAGAAUUCACUUUAGGCGACUUUUAAGGUUAAAAGUGGCAUCUCGUUUUGUCUACACAAGUCUCUAGGGAUCAAUAGUGCAUCGUCCAUUUACAGGUUCGAAGACGAUGCAUCAUGGGUUCGGGAUCGAAGAACUUCUGUAGAUUAUUUAGCAUACUUUGACUUUACACUUUUUGUAGUUGUCUUUGACUAUUGUCAUUGACUUUGGCUUUUGUUGAGUUGACUUUUUGGGUUGACUAAGUUUUGAUUCUAAAGUUUAUUUAUUAUGUUUUUCCGCUGCAAAAUUCUUAAUAAGUCGAUUUGUUA